AGAGUUUGAUCAUGGCUCAGGAUGAACGCUAGCUACAGGCUUAACACAUGCAAGUCGAGGGGCAGCAUUGGAGUAGCAAUACUCAGAUGGCGACCGGCGCACGGGUGAGUAACACGUAUCCAACCUGCCGCUUACUCGGGGAUAGCCUUUCGAAAGAAAGAUUAAUACCCGAUGGUAUAAAGAGUUCGCAUGUUCUCUUUAUUAAAGAAUUUCGGUAAGCGAUGGGGAUGCGUUCCAUUAGAUAGUUGGCGGGGUAACGGCCCACCAAGUCUACGAUGGAUAGGGGUUCUGAGAGGAAGGUCCCCCACAUUGGAACUGGGACACGGUCCAAACUCCUACGGGAGGCAGCAGUGAGGAAUAUUGGUCAAUGGACGAGAGUCUGAGCCAGCCAAAGUAGCGUGAAGGAUGACUGCCCUAUGGGUUGUAAACUUCUUUUAUAAGGGAAUAAAGUGAGGGACGUGUCCCUUUUUGUAUGUACCUUAUGAAUAAGGAUCGGCUAACUCCGUGCCAGCCGCCGC
rnacentral:rRNA from 1 species